rnacentral:rRNA from 1 species
AUUGAACGCUGGCGGCAGGCCUAACACAUGCAAGUCGAGCGGAUGAGGGAAGCUUGCUUCCUGAUUUAGCGGCGGACGGGUGAGUAAUGCCUAGGAAUCUGCCUAUUAGUGGGGGAUAACGUUCCGAAAGGAACGCUAAUACCGCAUACGUCCUACGGGAGAAAGUGGGGGAUCUUCGGACCUCACGCUAAUAGAUGAGCCUAGGUCGGAUUAGCUAGUUGGUGAGGUAACGGCUCACCAAGGCGACGAUCCGUAGCUGGUCUGAGAGGAUGAUCAGCCACACUGGAACUGAGACACGGUCCAGACUCCUACGGGGGGCAGCAGUGGGGAAUAUUGGACAAUGGGCGAAAGCCUGAUCCAGCCAUGCCGCGUGUGUGAAGAAGGUCUUCGGAUUGUAAAGCACUUUAAGUUGGGAGGAAGGGCUGUAAGCUAAUAUCUUGCAGCUUUGACGUUACCAACAGAAUAAGCACCGGCUAACUCUGUGCCAGCCGCCGCAGUAAAAC